UCCAUUACAGGUACCGUUAUAUGCAGUACAGAGUACACAUUACACAUUCACACGUAGUCAAAGUCAAAUCUAAACGUAUCUCAAAUUAUUGUCUAUAGAUCAAAUUAGUGAUUGAUUCGAAGUUUUGUAAUAUUACAGUUGAGAUUUUCUAACAAGUGUCUCUUUCAAUAUGUUACGAUUUGUCACGACGAAACAAUUUAGCAAGUUUUUGGUUCGAGAUCGAGGUCUUCGAUUUAUCAGCUAUCUAAACUCGCUUCCAGAGAUACCGAUCAGUUACCCUUACUCGUUGGAAGACAUCCUGCUUCGAGAUACGAAUACACGUUUGAACAGAAUCGAGGCUAAACUGGAGAGGCUGGGGGUACAAAUGGAGGACUUGGAGAGGAAAAUUGAUCAGGCACUGCGGAACAGCUUACGUAGGUCUAAGACUGAUACUGAUAUGACAGAUUUCGCUCUCGGAGGAGUGGUGACACUGAUGACGGUGGUUAUACUAAUAUGUGGUUCAACUGUAAUUAGGAUCUGUUUGAAAUAGUAAACAAGAAUCAACAAUCAACAAUAUUAUUUACUACAUAUACCUACCUACGUAUAGGUAGAAGUACUAUAAUUCGAUUAUAAUCUGUAGGUACAUAUACGAGUAUAAACACUUGCAUUGUACAUUAUAGCUUUCCAAUAAACGAUCAUGUUUGUA